rnacentral:rRNA from 1 species
UACAGAGGUCUCAAGCGUUGUUCGGAAUCACUGGGCGUAAAGGGUGCGUAGGCGGAACGCCAAGUCAGAUGUGAAAGACCGGGGCUCAACCCCGGAACGGCAUCCGAUACUGGCGAUCUAGAGGGCUCGAGGGGAGUGUGGAAUUCACGGUGUAGCAGUGAAAUGCGUAGAUAUCGUGAGGAACACCAGUGGCGAAGGCGACACUCUGGAG